rnacentral:rRNA from 1 species
UACGUAGGGUGCGAGCGUUAAUCGGAAUUACUGGGCGUAAAGAGCGUGUAGGCGGCCGUACAGGUCAGCUGUGAAAACUCGAGGCUCAACCUCGAGACGUCGGUUGAAACCGUACGGCUAGAGUCCGGAAGAGGAGAGUGGAAUUCCCGGUGUAGCGGUGAAAUGCGCAGAUAUCGGGAAGAACACCCGUGGCGAAGGCGGCUCUCUGGGACGGUACUGACGCUGAGACGCGAAAGCGUGGGGAGCGAACAGG